GAUCUUGCAUCUCAGGCGGAAGCUGUGAAGAGUUCAGCUCAGAGUCGGUCAAGAAGAAAAGAGCCUGCUGGAAGCGAGACAGAGUGUGCUGGCUGCAGGUGAGGUGGACAUCUGGAAGUGCACCACCCUAGACCUGAUGAUCCGAAAUGCAGGGCAACGCACCACAGACGUCUGCAAAAUGGACCGAAUUCAGACAGAAUGCCGCCAGUUACCUACAGCUCAGAGGCGGCCGCGGCAGGCAGACAGUUGACGGUGCUGUAGGAUUUGGCUUCUCGUGAGAGUGGGAGAUUUGUUGUGUGUGCUUUGUACAUAGUUUUUUUCUGAUUGCGUUUGUGUUUUGUGUUAAUAAAGCUCUAUCUUUGAAUAAACAGCACAUUCCUGGCAAAUCAUUUUCCUUAGGAUAACAAUGACAUGAAUAUACAACAUAGCAUAUAU